rnacentral:lncRNA from 1 species
AGGGCAUCCUAAGGAGGUUGAGUGAUCGCAAACCCCACUAUGACCGCAGGGCAUCAGAGAUGGAUUGGCAGAAUUCAAGGCGAUAUAUCAGAAACACAACACGAUAUCUUCUCUUCCAAGAAGAAUAGGUUACUCACCGUGGAAAAGAUACCGAGAAGACCCUAAAAUUUAUUGGCUCUCAGGAUCUUAAGACACCGUGGAAUGGCUGCAUUCUCUGUCUUAGGAUGUUACAAUAAAGCUUGGCACAAAAACAGGGCAGGCAAA